rnacentral:lncRNA from 1 species
AAAAGAGUACAAUAUUUUUCUAAGUACACUAUAAAAGAUUGUUGAACAGAAUCAUCAUAUUUGAAUUGAGAAAUUGAGUUGAUUGUUAUCCUUCAUCUAGUCUCCAAUUUUAUUUGCUAUGAAAGUUAAUGAAAACGUUCUGUUGUUCACAGGAAUUGAAAGCUUUGAAGUGAGGAUUUUUUUAAAUCAAACAGAGUUUUCAUCAUUUAUCCUAUCCUUAUUUCCUAUUAUUGGAAGUUUCUUCUUCUUUUUUUUUUUUUCUUUUUUUUUUUUGGGAAAAUUUACUCAGAAGAUUGACUGAUCUAGAUCCUGAUGUUUAACUCAUCUCGCUAGGUGUAGUCAGCAUUCUUCUACCCAAAAUUAAGCCACCUCUAGUAUAAUUGGUUUUAUAUACUUAGCUUGAUGAUAAUGUAAAAUGAGGACAAAAAAUGUUGAAUUAUCUUUAUUUUCUUCUACUGAUUUUUAUUCAUGAUGAACAGUUACUUUCUUUGCAUUGUUAUAUGUACAAGUUUCAUAAAUUCAAAGUUACUGACAUGUCAUAUACCCUCACUGAAAUGGGAUUCAAGUCUUUUUUGUUGUUUACUAUACAAGUAUUCAAUGCUAGAAAAAACAAGAUCAAGUCAAUGGACGAGCUAAAGUCUCUUACAAGUGUGUGGGCAUUGAUUUUGAGAGGUAAGUCUUUCUUGUCGAAGAUAUUGUAAAAGAUUAGCUAAUAAAAUUUUCUUCAAGGAUUAAUGUUUAUAAUCUUCCUUUUUCUUAACCUAUGGUAGACAAUGAUACAAGUUAAGUUUGCAAGCUUAAUCAGAUGAAAGAGUUGAAUACUGGUCAAUACUGCUGCUCAAUGACUUCACCAAAUUAUUCAAUCAACCUCAGAGAGGCCAAUGGAAUCUGGGACGAACAACAAGUCUAUGAAAGUCCUUUGGACUGCAGUAAUGGCACUUGCUAGCAGAUCAUCUGACGGAUCUCUGGUGGAGUCCUGCCAUUGGGCAGAUGGUAUACCAUUGAAUCUCCGACUCUAUGAAAUGCUUCUAGAAAUAUGCUUCUAUAUUAAUGACUAAACGUCCAUUAUAGAUGAAGUUCGUGAGCUUAUGGAACUCGUGAAGCAAAACUUGGGAAAUCCUAGGAUAAACCAAAUGUUGCACAAUCUUUGCUUUACAUGGGUCCCUUCAAGAUAACUAAAUGCGAUCUGCUGCCUAGAAUUAGCUGAAGGAUUUUUUUUUUUUUUUUUUUUUUUUUUUUUUUAAAGUAAAUGCUGGAGUCAAAAUGCAGAGGAUAUGUUGGAGGGGGACUCAAAAUAUUGGUGAAGGGUGUUUCCUUGAUUAGAAGAAAGGACAUGUUAGCUCAAGAAGUGUUCAAUGAGAUUCUUGGUUGGAGUUCAAUGUAAGAUUAUAGGAUUGAUGAACUUGUAGAUAAGGACAUGAGUAGUCGAUAUAAAAGAUGGUUUGACUUUGAAAUCGAAGCAUUUGAACUCAGAAUAGAGAUUGAGGAUCGGGGUUCUUAAUUUUUUUUGUUAGAUAAAAAAUUUAUAAAAGUUUGUUCUUAUUUCAACAGUUUCUUUUAUUAUUAAAGUGUAUGGAUUCGAAUUCGUAAUGAAAUUAUUAUUUUUUGUAGUCCAAAAGCUCUUGGUAAGGAGUAAAUAUUUAAUUUUGCAAGGCCAAUUUACAUAAAUAGCUGUGAAAACAGGGGGAAAAAUGUAGAAUUAUUUUUUUUUUAAAAAAAAGAAAAAGGAAAAAAACAUAAUGGCCACAUAAUGGCCUAUGAUAACAAUCAAA